rnacentral:rRNA from 1 species
AUAGAUUGAUCCUGCUCAGAUGACGCUGCGUAGGCUACACAUGCAAGUCGAGCGGUACAGGCAUUUGAUCAGCUUGCUGAAUCUCGCGCUGACGAGCGGCGGACGGGUGAGUAACGCGUAGGAAUCUACUAGUAGAAGGGGAUAGCCCGGGGAAACUCGGAUUAAUACGUAUACGUCUUUAGGGAGAAAGAGGGCUUAGCUUUGAUGCUCUCGCUAUUAGAUGAGCCUGCGUAAGAUUAGCUUGUUGGUGGGGUAAAGGCUCACCAAGGCUACGAUCUUUAGCUGGUCUGAGAGGACGAUCAGCCACAUUGGGACUGAGACACGGCCCAGACUCCUACGGGAGGCAGCAGUGGGGAAUAUUGGACAAUGGGCGCAAGCCUGAUCCAGCCAUACCGCGUGUGUGAAGAAGGCCUUCGGGUUGUAAAGCACUUUAAGUAAGGAAGAAAAGUAUAUUGUUAAUACCAAUAUACCGUGACAUUACUUACAGAAUAAGGACCGGCUAAUUCCGUGCCAGCAGCCGCGGUAAUACGGAAGGUCCAAGCGUUAAUCGGAAUUACUGGGCGUAAAGCGCGCGUAGGUGGUUUAUUAAGUUGGGUGUGAAAGCCCCGGGCUCAACCUGGGAACUGCAUCCAAAACUGAUUCACUAGAGUACGAAAGAGGGAGGUAGAAUUCACAGUGUAGCGGUGGAAUGCGUAGAUAUUGUGAAGAAUACCAAUGGCGAAGGCAGCCUCCUGGUUCUGUACUGACACUGAGGUGCGAAAGCGUGGGUAGCGAACAGGAUUAGAUACCCUGGUAGUCCACGCCGUAAACGAUGACAACCAGCUGUUGGGAAGCAAUGCUUUUCAGUGGCGCAGCUAACGUCUUAAGUUGUCCGCCUGGGGAGUACGGCCGCAAGGUUAAAACUCAAAGGAAUUGACGG